rnacentral:lncRNA from 10 species
UAGGUUCUGAAUAAAACUAUUUUGCCUCAAUAUGAGAUAUGAAAUUGGGGAUGGUCUCUGAAACAAUGUGCUGGAAAAAUGGAAUACAGCAGUAUCAGAAACACAGGUAGAGAAUGUGGCUUAAAAGGCAGAAAAGGACGCAUCUCUCACAGGAAAGAAAAGAGAAUGAUGGAAGAUUCCAAAAAAUUUUAAAGUAGGGAUAAGAGAAUUUGAGAAAUUCACAUCAUUUGGCCUCUAUUAUUAUUAUUAUUAUUAUUUUCAGUAAACUAAGAGGCAAAGUGGUUGGUUAAAACUGAGAAGGAAAGAUAGGACUGGAAGUAUGGGAAGAGUGAAAACAUUUUAAAAACACAACAUAAAAAAUAGAAUAAGAUUUAAUUUGAAAUCAAUAAAAGCGUUUCCAAAGAGCCUGGAGGAGCAGCGGGCAUUGGACAUGAUGUAUGUGAAGUGCAGCCAGUUACUGCAUUAUCUUCCAUGGUGACACUUACCUGUCUGGGAACAGUAGCAGCAGUUAGAACUUGCCAGGCAGGUGUUGGGAGAGUUCAUGGGGAGGAAAUCUGAGCUAGCCCUCACUCCCAGGAGAAGCUGCUCCAUUCUUGUGUUGUCCAUCUUAGGCAACGACACCACCACACCCUCUGUUGCUCCUUGCAGAAACACUGGAGUCAUCCUAGAUUCUUCUUUCUCUUUGUUGAACCCCAUCUAAAUAAUCUGCAACUUCUGCCCAUUUUUUCUCCGAACACUUUGCUCACCUUUGCUGCUACUACCUUUGUCAAAGUCACUGUCAUCCUCUAGCUGUUUACGGCCUUGAACUCUAAUUGCUCCCUCAUAUCCAUUCCUACCUGACUCAAUCCAUACUUUGUGUUACAAUUAGAGUGGUCUUUUAAAAAUCACAUCAGUUUGGCUGGGCACAGUGGUGCAUGCCUGUAAUCCCAGCAUUCUAGAAGGCGGAGGCAGGUGGAUCACUUGAGUCCAGGAGUUCAGGACCAGCCUGGGCAACAUGGCGAAACCCUAUCUUUACCAAAAAUACAAAUAUUAGCCAGGUGUGGUGGCAUGUGCCUGUGGUCCCAGCUACUCAGGAGGCUGAGUUGGGAGGAUUGCUGGAGUCUGGCAGGUGGAGGUUGCAGUGAACUGAGAUCGCACCACUGCACUCCAGUUUGGGAGACAGAGUGAAACCCUGUCUCCAAAAAAAUAAAAACCAUAUCAGGUAUCAUUUUACCCUUUUAAGAACCUUAAAAGGUUUCUGACUGCUUUUAAAAUAAGGACCAAAGUUCUCAACACAGCCCACCAGGUCCUUAUGAUUUAGCCCUCCAACAUCUCCAACUUACCCGGCAUAAUCCACUCUCUAUUCUCUGAGCACAUGGCCUUCUUGUUCUUCAAAAACAUGGAGAUGAUAAAGGACCAACAGAGGCAGAGAUAGGAUGUGGGGCGGUGUCAUAUAAUCAGACAUCAUGGACUUCAAAAGGAAGAGAUAUUGAGUUAAAGAGGAGGAAAUGGUCAAAGUGGGCAGAGCUCUGGCAGAACUCGCUAAAGAACUGCAUCUAAAAUGACUUCGCUUAGCAAAGAGCUGUACUUCCAGGCAUCUUGGAAAAGGAGCCUCUUUCUGAGUUUUUGAUGUGAGAUGUCAAAGCGUUGUUGGUAUGAGGAAAUCUACUUGAACUGCUGUUAUUUGACAGCACCGUGUUUAUGAGCUGUAACGCUCACCGAGAAGAUCUGCAGUUUUACUCCUGAGGCCAGCGAGACCACGAACCCACUGGGAGGAAUGAACAACUCUAGAUGCACUGCCUGAAGAGCUGUGACACUCACCAUGAAGGUCCCUGCAGCUUCACUCCUGAAGCCAGCGAGACCAUGAACCCACCAGAAGGAAGAAGCUCCGAACACGUCCGAACAUCAGAAGGAACAAAUUCCGGACACACCAUUUUUAAGAACUGUAACACACACCACGAGGGUCUGCGGCUUCAUUCUUGAAGUCAGUGAGACCAAGAACCCACCAAUUUCGGACACACUGGGAUUACAGGCAUGAGCCAUUGUGCCCAGCCAUGUUUCCUCUUUUGUAUAGCAAGUACCUACCUGUUAGAAUUGUAAGUUUUUAUAAGCUUCUGCAUGAAAGGCACCUGCCAUGCUACCUCAAAAGAUCAUUGUGAAAAUCUCACUCCAGUGGCUCUAGAUUAACGGAACAAGACUAAAACUAAAAGCAGGAAGCCAAUGUGUCGUGCUAUGAUUUGAGGAGGGUACAUACAUAAAAUCCUUGACGCCCUUGCCUGUCCUUUCACAGUUCCUUUCCUUUGAGACUCAACAUUUUUGUCACCUUAAAUGGUUAUCAGAUGAUCCCUUAGCACGCAUUACUUCAAAGAUAGUGGGAGAAAAAAAUAACUGGGUAGAAAGACAACAGGAACACGGUUUGCUUUGGUUCCCUACUCAGAGACCCAUAAGGCAUAUUAGCAUAGUGAAGUCUCCCCUUGAGGAAUAGAUGGGUGAAAAGGUCACGGGGUGGAAAGGAUAGGCUA